GGGGAGUUAGUUUAGUGGAUAAAACUACAACCUUCUAAGUUGUUGUCGAUGGUUCGAUUCCAUCACUCCCUG
rnacentral:tRNA from 1 species